GACCUCACUCCUCAGCUCCAUCUCUGCCCCCAGCUUCCCUGCUCCGAUACCCGGGAGCGCUGCCACACUUGGACACCCCCACUCUUUCCGUCUCCCCGAGGGUCCUGAGACCACACUGUCCCUGCGAGGACUCCACCCCCCUUAGCCACUGGAGCGACGUCCCUCCCUGGAGCAGACUUCUAAACGUUCUGAUUUUGGCCCCGCUGCUCUCUCGCUUGCUGACCCAGUGACCUGAUGAAGUACCAUACCCCCUUCAUCUCUGGUGACCAGGUGCUACUCAGGACCUGCAGGGAACAGGGCCAACUUGCUAAAAAGUGGAUGGGACCACGUGACCUAUUAGUGGCUCUCUAAUCAUCUCUUACACGUUGGCUGUCGUGAAAUCUUGGAUACAUCACAGAUGGGUGAAAACAGCCCCAUUUGAGGAAUCAGAAACAACCUGAAGCUUCCUCGUGGACAUACUUCAGCUGAAACCAGGAUGCAUCCUGGGUGUUGGGACUGCUGGCUUUUGAACUAGAACCACACCACUGCUUCUCCUAGUUCUCUCCUUGCUGACUGCAGAUCUUGGUACUUCUCAGCCACCAGAAUCAUGUGAGUCAAUCAUUACAAUACAUAUGUAUAUCCUAUUGGUUCUGUGUUUCUGCAAUAUCUUGCCUAAUGGAACAGAGUGUAGAAGCAGCACUAAGGAUGGCCCAUGUGAGCAGCUGAGUGUGAUCUUUCCAAAAAAAGGUUAAACAAUUUAAUGGGGAAGAAGUUUGCUUUCAGGAGCCUGUAGCCCUCAGCAGUUCAUAAAGGGACACUGAAGAGCUUAAGAAAAGCUCAUCCGAGGAAUGGAACAAGUGUUUGUGUCCUAGAGGCAGAGGGGACACCCCCUCAAGAUCAACAAGGGUAGAAAGACCUCCAGGUACAUUAUUGUGAAACACAUGAGAUACAUGUGAAAUACAUGAAAUACAUAUUCAGAGAAGAUGUCUUAAGGGCAGCUGGCGGGGGGUGGGGGAGA